rnacentral:rRNA from 1 species
AGUAUCACUCAAUACCAAACCCGAGGGUUUGAGAGAGAAAUGACGCUCAAACAGGCAUGCCCUUUGGAAUACCAAAGGGCGCAAUGUGCGUUCAAAGAUUCGAUGAUUCACGAAAAUCUGCAAUUCAUAUUACUUAUCGCAUUUCGCUGCGUUCUUCAUCGAUGCGAGAACCAAGAGAUCCGUUGUUGA